rnacentral:rRNA from 1 species
UACGUAGGGUGCGAGCGUUGUCCGGAAUUAUUGGGCGUAAAGGGCUCGUAGGCGGUCUGUCACGUCGGGAGUGAAAACUCAGGGCUUAACCCUGAGCCUGCUUCCGAUACGGGCAGACUAGAGGUAUGCAGGGGAGAAUGGAAUUCCUGGUGUAGCGGUGAAAUGCGCAGAUAUCAGGAGGAACACCAGUGGCGAAGGCGGUUCUCUGGGCAUUACCUGACGCUGAGGAGCGAAAGUGUGGGGAGCGAGCAGG